GUGUCAGCAGCCGCGGUAAUACGGAGGGUGCAAGCGUUAUCCGGAUUCACUGGGUUUAAAGGGUGCGUAGGCGGGUAUAUAAGUCAGUGGUGAAAGCUCCGGGCUUAACUUGGAAACUGCCAUUGAUACUGUAUAUCUUGAAUAUCGUAGAGGUUAGCGGAAUGUUGCAUGUAGCGGUGAAAUGCUUAGAUAUGUUACAGAACACCAAUUGCGAAGGCAGCUAACUAUGCGAUGAUUGACGCUGAGGCACGAAAGCGUGGGGAGCAAACAGGAUUAGAUACCCUAGUAGUCC
rnacentral:rRNA from 1 species